UUCCCAGGAGUUUCCAUUUGGUGAUCAGCACUAAACACAGACCACCAACCAUGGAGUUUGGGCUGAGCUGGGUUUUCCUUGUUGCUAUUUUAAAAGGUGUCAAGUGUGAGGUGCAGCUGGUGGAGUCUGGCGGAGGCUUGGCACAGCCUGGGGGGUCCCUGAGACUCUCCUGCGCAGCCUCUGGAUUCACCUUCAGUGACCACUACAUGCAGUGGGUCCUCCAGGCUCCAGGGAAGGGGCUGGAGUGGGUAGGAUUAAUUAGAAACAAAGCUGAUGGUGAGACAACAGACUACGCUGCAUCUGUGAAAGGCAGAGUCACUAUCUCCAGAGAUGAUUCGAAAAGCAUCACCUCUCUGCAAAUGAGCAUCCUGAAAACCGAGGACACGGCCGUGUAUUACUGUGCGAGGAACACAGUGAGGGGAGACCAGUGUGAGCCCGGACACAAACCUCCCUGCAGGCGCGCGCGCGGCCACCAGGGGGCUCUCGGAACCCACUGCGGACAGGACCAGUCCCAGGAGCAGAGCUAUGUCACAGGCCACAUGGACCUAAGUCCUUGA